UAUGUGAUCGUCUCUCGCAUAUCAAUAAGCGGAGGAAAAGAAACUAACAAGGAUUCCCCUAGUAACGGCGAGUGAAGCGGGAAGAGCUCAAAUUUGAAAUCUUAAAGGGUUUCCCUUUACGAAUUGUAGUUUAAAGAAGUGUUUUCUGUUGAGGUUUUGGUAAAAGUUCUUUGGAAUAGGACAUCAUAGAGGGGUGAGAAUCCCGUAUUUGACCUUUACUUUCAACUUUGUGAUACACUUUCAAAGAGUCGGAUUGUUUGGGAAUGCAGUCCAAAAUGGGUGGUAAAUUUCAUCUAAAGCUAAAUAUUGGCGAGAGACCGAUAGCGAACAAGUACCGUGAGGGAAAGAUGAAAAGAACUUUGAAAAGAGAGUUAAACAGUACGUGAAAUUGUCAAAAGGGAAGCGUUUGACACCAGUGUUGUUUUUCUGAAAAUCAAUUAAAGAACUGUUUAUGCUAAGCUGUUUAGACUUUAUCAGCUAUCUGUUUAGUUUUGAGCUUUUCUUUAAUGCACUUUUCAGUUAACAAGUCAACAUCAAUUUCUUUUGCUGUAAAAAAGCUUGAGGAAGGUGGCUUGAGAUUCGUCUUAAGUGUUUAUAGCCUCUUGCCUAUGCAGUCGGAGAGAUUGAGGUCUGCAGCGUAGAUCCUUCGGGGCUAAAUGCAUUUGUGCUAAGUUAUAGCAUUUUAUAGACAACUUGUUGACUAUGAUUUGUCUUGUAGCUUACUCGCUUAUGUUAUUUUACCUACGCUUAGGAUGUUGAGCGCAUGUCUCUCUCU
rnacentral:rRNA from 1 species